rnacentral:snoRNA from 1 species
ACAUCCUGGUUGGGACAUUGGAUAAGAUUUCCAUUAAAUCUCUUCCACUCCGCAUAUAAAGGCUCUCUAUUCAAUUGAUGAAAGUUUGUGAUUUCUUCACGCAAUUG